UACGGUAGGGGGCAAGCGUUGUCCGGAUUUAUUGGGCGUAAAGAGCGUGUAGGCGGCUAGGUAGGUCCGUUGUGAAAACUCGAGGCUCAACCUCGAGACGUCGAUGGAAACCAUCUAGCUAGAGUCCGGAAGAGGAGAGUGGAAUUCCUGGUGUAGCGGUGAAAUGCGCAGAUAUCAGGAAGAACACCCGUGGCGAAGGCGGCUCUCUGGUACGUGACUGACGCUGAGACGCGAAAGCGUGGGGAGCGAACAGG
rnacentral:rRNA from 1 species